UACGUAGGGGGCAAGCGUUGUCCGGAAUUAUUGGGCGUAAAGCGCGUGUAGGCGGCUCGGUAAGUCUGCUCUGAAAGUCCAAGGCUCAACCUUGGGAUGCGGGUGGAUACUGCUGGGCUCGAGUCCGGAAGAGGCGAGUGGAAUUCCUGGUGUAGCGGUGAAAUGCGCAGAUAUCAGGAGGAACACCAAUGGCGAAGGCAGCUCGCUGGGACGUGACUGACGCUGAGACGCGAAAGCGUGGGGAGCAAACAGG
rnacentral:rRNA from 1 species